AUAUCAAUAAGCGGAGGAAAAGAAACUAACAAGGAUUCCCCCAGUAACGGCGAGUGAAGUGGGAAUAGCUCAAAUUGAAUCUUGCGGUGUCCUACUGCUAAGAAUUGUAGUUUAGAGAACUAUGUCUACGUUCGUCAGUGGAAGGAAGUCCCCUGGAAUGGGGCGUCUUAGAGGGUGAGAACCCCGUUUCUUCUGCUGGCUGUUCGGUUUGAUGUAGCUUCUUCGAGUCGGGUUGCUUGGGAAUGCUGCCCUAAAUGGGUGGUAAAUUCCAUCUAAAGCUAAAUAUUGGACGAGAGACCGAUAGCGAACAAGUACCGUGAGGGAAAGAUGAAAAGAACUUUGGAAAAGAGAGUUAAACAGUAC
rnacentral:rRNA from 1 species